rnacentral:rRNA from 1 species
GACGAACGCUGGCGGCGUGCCUAAUACAUGCAAGUAGAACGCUGAAGAGAGGAGCUUGCUCUUCUUGGAUGAGUUGCGAACGGGUGAGUAACGCGUAGGUAACCUGCCUUGUAGCGGGGGAUAACUAUUGGAAACGAUAGCUAAUACCGCAUAACAAUGGGUGACACAUGUCAUUUAUUUGAAAGGGGCAAUUGCUCCACUACAAGAUGGACCUGCGUUGUAUUAGCUAGUAGGUGAGGUAACGGCUCACCUAGGCGACGAUACAUAGCCGACCUGAGAGGGUGAUCGGCCACACUGGGACUGAGACACGGCCCAGACUCCUACGGGAGGCAGCAGUAGGGAAUCUUCGGCAAUGGGGGCAACCCUGACCGAGCAACGCCGCGUGAGUGAAGAAGGUUUUCGGAUCGUAAAGCUCUGUUGUAAGUCAAGAACGAGUGUGAGAGUGGAAAGUUCACACUGUGACGGUAGCUUACCAGAAAGGGACGGCUAACUACGUGCCAGCAGCCGCGGUAAUACGUAGGUCCCGAGCGUUGUCCGGAUUUAUUGGGCGUAAAGCGAGCGCAGGCGGUUUGAUAAGUCUGAAGUUAAAGGCUGUGGCUCAACCAUAGUUCGCUUUGGAAACUGUCAAACUUGAGUGCAGAAGGGGAGAGUGGAAUUCCAUGUGUAGCGGUGAAAUGCGUAGAUAUAUGGAGGGGCACCGGUGGCGAAAGCGGCUCUCUGGUCUGUAACUGACGCUGAGGCUCGAAAGCGUGGGGAGCGAACAGG